CUAACCAUGCAGUCGAGCGGUAGAGAGAGCUUGCUUCUCUUGAGAGCGCGGACGGGUGAGUAAUGCCUAGGAAUCUGCCUGGUAGUGGGGGAUAACGUUCGGAAACGGACGCUAAUACCGCAUACGUCCUACGGGAGAAAGCAGGGGACCUUCGGGCCUUGCGCUAUCAGAUGAGCCUAGGUCGGAUUAGCUAGUUGGUGAGGUAAUGGCUCACCAAGGCGACGAUCCGUAACUGGUCUGAGAGGAUGAUCAGUCACACUGGAACUGAGACACGGUCCAGACUCCUACGGGAGGCAGCAGUGGGGAAUAUUGGACAAUGGGCGAAAGCCUGAUCCAGCCAUGCCGCGUGUGUGAAGAAGGUCUUCGGAUUGUAAAGCACUUUAAGUUGGGAGGAAGGGUUGUAGAUUAAUACUCUGCAAUUUUGACGUUA
rnacentral:rRNA from 1 species